rnacentral:misc_RNA from 1 species
CUUCAAGCCGAACUUUAUAUCCAACGCAUUCACCCAAUUUCUCUCCCCUUUCUGAAGCAACUCUCUCAGAAACAGACAUAGCAGAUAUUCGUCUUGGCUGUGUACAUAUAAUACUACAACCAGCUCCUUGGACAGAUUCUAUCUCUGAUUCUAAUAUGAAAUGGGGAAUUUGUGUGGUCUUGCCACAACCAGUUUCACCAGAGAUAAUGACCACCUGACUUUGUGAAAUGGCUUUCAAUAUUGCAUCUUUCUCUUUAUAUGCAGGGAGACUUUUCCGAAAUUCCAGCAUUUUUCUGCCUUCUGGAGAAUCCUGCCAAGCAUGCUGCUGAUCC